rnacentral:tRNA from 1 species
GAAAUAUUAUAAAAAAUAAGCUUCUAACUUAAUUAUAAAGCAUUAAAUUGUUUAUAUUUCU